rnacentral:rRNA from 1 species
AUUGAACGCUGGCGGAAUGCUUUACACAUGCAAGUCGAACGGCAGCACGGACUUCGGUCUGGUGGCGAGUGGCGAACGGGUGAGUAACAUAUCGGAACGUAUCCAAUAAUGGGGGAUAACGAGUCGAAAGAUUCGCUAAUACCGCAUACGCCCUACGGGGGAAAGCUGGGGACCUUCGGGCCUGGCGUUAAUGGAGCGGCCGAUAUCUGAUUAGCUAGUUGGUGAGGUAAAGGCUCACCAAGGCGACGAUCAGUAGCUGGUCUGAGAGGACGACCAGCCACACUGGAACUGUGACACGGUCCAGACUCCUACGGGAGGCAGCAGUGGGGAACUUUGGACAAUGGGCGCAAGCCUGAUCCAGCCAUUCCGCGUGAGUGAAGAAGGCCUUCGGGUUGUAAAGCUCUUUCGCAAGGGAAGAAAACUUAGCCACUAACAUUGGUUGAGGUUGACGGUACCUUGAUAAGAAGCACCGGCUAACUACGUGCCAGCCGCCGCUGUAA